rnacentral:tRNA from 1 species
AAGUUUAGGUUAAACCAGACCAAGAGCCUUCAAAGCUCUAAGCAAGUAGUUCAUACUUAACUUCUG